GUUACUGCUAUCGGUGUUCGCCUAAGCCAUGCGAGUCAUAUGUAGCAAUACAUGGCGUACUGCUCAGUAACACGUGGAUAACCUGCCCUUGGGUCCGGCAUAACCCCGGGAAACUGGGGAUAAUUCCGGAUAACGCGCAUAUGCUGGAAUGCUUUACGCGUAAAAUGGAUUCGUCUGCCCAAGGAUGGGUCUGCGGCCUAUCAGGUAGUAGUGGGUGUAAUGUACCUACUAGCCUACGACGGGUACGGGUUGUGAGAGCAAGAGCCCGGAGAUGGAUUCUGAGACAUGAAUCCAGGCCCUACGGGGCGCAGCAGGCGCGAAAACUUUACAAUGCGGGAAACCGUGAUAAGGGGACACCGAGUGCCAGCAUCCUAUGCUGGCUGUCCGGGUGUGUAAAAUACACCUGUUAGCAAGGGCCGGGCAAGACCGGUGCCAGCCGCCGCGGUAACACCGGCGGCCCGAGUGGUGAUCGUGAUUAUUGGGUCUAAAGGGUCCGUAGCC
rnacentral:rRNA from 1 species